UACGGAGUGUGCGAGCGUUGUCCGGAAUCACUGGGCGUAAAGGGCGCGUAGGUGGUCUGGUAAGCGUGCGGUGAAAUCGCGGGGCUCAACCCCGCGCCGGCCGUGCGAACUGCUGGACUGGAGCACUGUAGAGGCGGGUGGAAUUCCGGGUGUAGCGGUGGAAUGCGUAGAGAUCCGGAAGAACACCGGUGGCGAAGGCGGCCCGCUGGGCAGUGGCUGACACUGAGGCGCGACAGCGUGGGGAGCAAACAGG
rnacentral:rRNA from 1 species